AUUGGAAGUGGUCGAGCUCGAGUACAGAAAAAUGGUAACUAUUGGUCGGGAUCUCAAGGCCAGCCUCCAGGAGGAAGUCAUCAAUUGUCUGUCCCGCAACAUCGAUGUUUUUGCAUGAAAGGUUGAGGAUAUGCUGAGGAUAGACCCUGAAGUAGCAGUCCAUAGACUCAAUAUAAGCCCGGGGGCCAAACCUGUUAAGCAAAGGAAGAGGCAGUUUGCGCCGGAAAGAUGUGUGGUCAUUCAGGAGGAGGUCGGCAAACUGGUGAGAGCGUGGUUCAUAAGGGAAGUCCAAUACCCCGAUUGGCUCGCUAAUGUUGUUCUUGUGAAGAAGGCCAGUGGUAAAUGGAGGGUCUGCAUCGACUUCACAGAUCUCAAUAAAGCGUUCCCAAAAGACAGCUACCCGUUACCUAG
rnacentral:lncRNA from 1 species